rnacentral:rRNA from 1 species
UGGGGAAUUUUGGACAAUGGGGGCAACCCUGAUCCAGCAAUGCCGCGUGAGUGAAGAAGGCCUUCGGGUUGUAAAGCUCUUUUGUCAGGGAAGAAACGAUAGUAGCGAAUAACUAUUACUAAUGACGGUACCUGAAGAAUAAGCACCGGCUAACUACGUGCCAGCAGCCGCGGUAAUACGUAGGGUGCAAGCGUUAAUCGGAAUUACUGGGCGUAAAGCGUGCGCAGGCGGUUGUGUAAGUCAGAUGUGAAAUCCCCGGGCUCAACCUGGGAAUUGCAUUUGAGACUGCACGGCUAGAGUGUGUCAGAGGGGGGUAGAAUUCCACGUGUAGCAGUGAAAUGCGUAGAUAUGUGGAGGAAUACCGAUGGCGAAGGCAGCCCCCUGGGAUAACACUGACGCUCAUGCACGAAAGCGUGGGGAGCAAACAGGAUUAGAUACCCAAGUAGUCCCUGAGCGGGCUGGCAAGGCGCAU